GCAAUCGCGUCGUCUAAUGGUUAGGACGGAAGACUCUGAAUCUUCAAAUGACGGUUCGAUCCCGUCCGUGAGCU
rnacentral:tRNA from 1 species